rnacentral:ncRNA from 1 species
UUAUUUGAGAGUUUGAUCCUGGCUCAGGAUGAACGCUGGCGGCGUGCUUAACACAUGCAAGUCGAGCGAAGCAUUUUAAAUGAAGUUCUCGGAUGGAUUUUGGAAUGACUGAGCGGCGGACGGGUGAGUAACGCGUGGAUAACCUGCCUUAUACAGGGGGAUAACAGCCAGAAAUGGCUGCUAAUACCGCAUAAGCGCACGGUACCGCAUGGUACAGUGUGAAAAACUCCGGUGGUAUAAGAUGGGUCCGCGUUGGAUUAGGCAGUUGGCGGGGUAAAGGCCCACCAAACCGACGAUCCAUAGCCGGCCUGAGAGGGUGGACGGCCACAUUGGGACUGAGACACGGCCCAGACUCCUA